rnacentral:rRNA from 1 species
AGAGUUUGAUCAUGGCUCAGAUCGAACGCGGGCGGCAGGCCUAACACAUGCAAGUCGAACGGUAACAGGAAGCAGCUUGCUGCUUCGCUGACGAGUGGCGGACGGGUGAGUAAUGUCUGGGAAGCUGCCUGAUGGAGGGGGAUAACUACUGGAAACGGUAGCUAAUACCGCAUAAUGUCGCAAGACCAAAGAGGGGGACCUUCGGGCCUCUUGCCAUCGGAUGUGCCCAGAUGGGAUUAGCUUGUUGGUGGGGUAACGGCUCACCAAGGCGACGAUCCCUAGCUGGUCUGAGAGGAUGACCAGCCACACUGGAACUGAGACACGGUCCAGACUCCUACGGGAGGCAGCAGUGGGGAAUAUUGCACAAUGGGCGCAAGCCUGAUGCAGCGAUGCCGCGUGUAUGAAGAAGGCCUUCGGGUUGUAAAGUACUUUCAGCGGGGAGGAAGGGAGUAAAGUUAAUACCUUUGCUCAUUGACGUUACCCGCAGAAGAAGCACCGGCUAACUCCGUGCCAGCAGCCGCGGUAAUACGGAGGGUGCAAGCGUUAAUCGGAAUUACUGGGCGUAAAGCGCACGCAGGCGGUUUGUUAAGUCAGAUGUGAAAUCCCCGGGCUCAACCUGGGAACUGCAUCUGAUACUGGCAAGCUUGAGUCUCGUAGAGGGGGGUAGAAUUCCAGGUGUAGCGGUGAAAUGCGUAGAGAUCUGGAGGAAUACCGGUGGCGAAGGCGGCCCCCUGGACGAAGACUGACGCUCAGGUGCGAAAGCGUGGGGAGCAAACAGGAUUAGAUACCCUGGUAGUCCACGCCGUAAACGAUGUCGACUUGGAGGUUGUGCCCUUGAGGCGUGGCUUCCGGAGCUAACGCGUUAAGUCGACCGCCUGGGGAGUACGGCCGCAAGGUUAAAACUCAAAUGAAUUGACGGGGACCCGCACAAGCGGUGGAGCAUGUGGUUUAAUUCGAUGCAACGCGAAGAACCUUACCUGGUCUUGACAUCCACGGAAGUUUUCAGAGAUGAGAAUGUGCCUUCGGGAACCGUGAGACAGGUGCUGCAUGGCUGUCGUCAGCUCGUGUUGUGAAAUGUUGGGUUAAGUCCCGCAACGAGCGCAACCCUUAUCCUUUGUUGCCAGCGGUCCGGCCGGGAACUCAAAGGAGACUGCCAGUGAUAAACUGGAGGAAGGUGGGGAUGACGUCAAGUCAUCAUGGCCCUUACGACCAGGGCUACACACGUGCUACAAUGGCGCAUACAAAGAGAAGCGACCUCGCGAGAGCAAGCGGACCUCAUAAAGUGCGUCGUAGUCCGGAUUGGAGUCUGCAACUCGACUCCAUGAAGUCGGAAUCGCUAGUAAUCGUGGAUCAGAAUGCCACGGUGAAUACGUUCCCGGGCCUUGUACACACCGCCCGUCACACCAUGGGAGUGGGUUGCAAAAGAAGUAGGUAGCUUAACCUUCGGGAGGGCGCUUACCACUUUGUGAUUCAUGACUGGGGUGAAGUCGUAACAAGGUA